rnacentral:rRNA from 1 species
ANNNNNNNAACUUANCCCAAAUCACUAACNGNACUCGUCGGCACGCGUCCUCUUUCGUUAGACUACGGACUUCGGGUGUUGCCAGCUCUCAUGGUGUGACGGGCGGUGUGUACAAGGCCCGGGAACGUAUUCACCGCGACAUGCUGAUUCGCGAUUACUAGCAACUCCAGCUUCAUGCAGGCGGGUUUCAGCCUGCAAUCCGAACUGGGAGCAGUUUUCAAGGUUCGCUCCACCUCGCGGUCUUGCUUCUCUCUGUUCUGCCCAUUGUAGCACGUGUGUUGCCCUGGACAAAGGGGCAUGAUAUUUGACGUCAUCCCCACCUCCGCCGCGUUAACCGCGGCUGUCUGUUAAAGUGCCCAUCUUUCUGCUAGCACUAACAAUAGGGGUUGCCGCUCCUUGCCGGACUUAACCUAACAUCCUACGACACAACUGACACAACCAUUCACCACCUGGUUCCCUGGCCCAAAGGCUUCUCUUAUCUCUUAAAAUUCAGGGGAUUCAAGUCCGGUAAAGUUUUUUCCGUUGCUUUCAAAUAAACCACAGCCCCGCUGCUGUGGGGCCCCCCCCAUUCUUUGAAUUUUAACUUGCGAACGACUUUCCCAGGGGGAAUACUUUUUGUGGUUACUGGGGGGCCAAAAAGGGGGCGAAACCCCCCCCACACCCAAAAUCCCCCUUUCGGCGGGGGACUACCCAGGGGAUCUAAUCCUGUGUGCUACCCCCCGCUUUUGUGGCCUCAGCGUCCNUACAGUCCAAAAAAACCCCCUUCCGCCCCGGGUGGUUUUUCCUAAUUCUCUACCCAUUUCACCGCCACCUAAGAAAAUUCGUUCUCCUCUCCCUGGGCCUCACAACAUCUCACUUUUGAAAAGGACUGUCCCCAGCUAAACCCGGGGCCUUUCCCACUCCUACCUAAAAUGUCGCCUCGCCCCACCCCUUUUCAUCCUAUAAUUUU